rfam:Punica granatum cultivar Dabenzi scaffold70, whole genome shotgun sequence.
GAGCUGUGAGGAAAUGCGAUUGCGAUUGUUAGGCCAAUCACCUUCAACUGACCUUCAGAUGAAAUCGCGCAUGCUGAGCUC